GUGAACGCUGGCGGUAGGCCUAACCCAUGCCAGUCGCACGGCAGCACAGUAAGAGCUUGCUCUUACGGGUGGCGAGUGGCGGACGGGUGAGGAAUACAUCGGAAUCUACUUUUUCGUGGGGGAUAACGUAGGGAAACUUACGCUAAUACCGCAUACGACCUACGGGUGAAAGCAGGGGGUCUUCGGACCUUGCGCGAUUGAAUGAGCCGAUGUCGGAUUAGCUAGUUGGCGGGGUAAAGGCCCACCAAGGCGACGAUCCGUAGCUGGUCUGAGAGGAUGAUCAGCCACACUGGAACUGAGACACGGUCCAGACUCCUACGGGAGGCAGCAGUGGGGAAUAUUGGACAAUGGGCGCAAGCCUGAUCCAGCCAUACCGCGUGGGUGAAGAAGGCCUUCGGGUUGUAAAGCCCUUUUGUUGGGAAAGAAAAGCAGCAGGUUAAUACCCCGCUGUUCUGACGGUACCCAAAGAAUAAGCACCGGCUAACUUCGUG
rnacentral:rRNA from 1 species